rnacentral:rRNA from 1 species
AACGAACGCUGGCGGCGUGCCUAACACAUGCAAGUCGUGCGAGAAAGUUCCUACGGGAGCGAGUAAAGCGGCGCACGGGUGAGUAACACGUAGGUAACCUGCCCCCCAGUCUGGAACAACUAGAGGAAACUCUAGCUAAUGCCGGAUGAGACCACGAUCCCUUCGGGGGUUGCGGCCAAAGAUGGCCUCUACUUGUAAGCUAUCGCUGAGGGAUGGGCCUGCGGGCCAUUAGCUUGUUGGUGAGGUAACGGCUCACCAAGGCUGUGAUGGCUAGCUGGUCUGAGAGGAUGACCAGCCACACUGGGACUGAGACACGGCCCAGACCUCCUACGGGAGGCAGCAGUGGGAAUAUUGCGCAAUGGGCGAAAGCCUGACGCAGCGACGCCGCGUGGGUGAU